CUUUUGAGAAAUGUUGUGGC
rnacentral:piRNA from 1 species